rnacentral:rRNA from 1 species
AGUGAACGCUGGCGGUAGGCCUAACACAUGCAAGUCGAACGGCAGCACAGUAAGAGCUUGCCCUUACGGGUGGCGAGUGGCGGACGGGUGAGGAAUACAUCGGAAUCUACUUUUUCGUGGGGGAUAACGUAGGGAAACUUACGCUAAUACCGCAUACGACCUACGGGUGAAAGCAGGGGAUCUUCGGACCUUGCGCGAUUGAAUGAGCCGAUGUCGCAUUAGCUAGUUGGCGAGGUAAAGGCCCACCAAGGCGACGAUCCGUAGCUGAUCUGAGAGGAUGAUCAGCCACACUGGAACUGAGACACGGUCCAGACUCCUACGGGAGGCAGCAGUGGGGAAUUUUGGACAAUGGGCGCAAGCCUGAUCCAGCCAUGCCGCGUGGGUGAAGAAGGCCUUCGGGUUGUAAAGCCCUUUUGUUGGGAAAGAAAAGCAGCGGGUUAAUACCCCGCUGUUCUGACGGUACCCAAAGAAUAAGCACCGGCUAACUUCGUG